rnacentral:rRNA from 1 species
UACAGAGGGGGCAAGCGUUAUUCGGAAUUAUUGGGCGUAAAGGGCGCGUAGGCGGCUUGGCAAGUGGAUGGUGAAAUCCCUCGGCUUAACCGAGGAACUGCCGUCCAAACUGCUUCGCUUGAGACCGGGAGAGGUGAGUGGAAUUCCCAGUGUAGCGGUGAAAUGCGUAGAUAUUGGGAGGAACACCAGUGGCGAAGGCGGCCCACUGGACCGGUACUGACGCUGAUGCGCGAAAGCGUGGGGAGCAAACGGG